AAGUCGAGGGGUAUAGUAGCAAUACUAGAGACCGGCGCACGGGUGCGUAAUGUGUAUGCAAUCUACCUUUUGCAGGGGAAUAGCCCAGAGAAAUUUGGAUUAAUGCCCCAUAGUAUAUAGACCUUGCAUGAGGAUUAUAUUAAAGUCACAACGGCAAAAGAUGAGCAUGCGUCCCAUUAGCUAGUUGGUAAGGUAACGGCUUACCAAGGCUACGAUGGGUAGGGGUCCUGAGAGGGAGAUCCCCCACACUGGUACUGAGACACGGACCAGACUCCUACGGGAGGCAGCAGUGAGGAAUAUUGGACAAUGGGCGCAAGCCUGAUCCAGCCAUGCCGCGUGCAGGAUGAAGCAUCUAUGGUGUGUAAACUGCUUUUGUACGAGAAGAAACACUCCAACGUGUUGGAGCUUGACGGUAUCGUAAGAAUAAGGAUCGGCUAACUCCGUGCCAGCAGCCGCGGUAAUACGGAGGAUCCAAGCGUUAUCCGGAAUCAUUGGGUUUAAAGGGUCCGUAGGCGGGCCAGUAAG
rnacentral:rRNA from 1 species